GCCCUCUCAGGGUCACACCUGGAGAGGGUCCAGUCCUCUACCAGUCUCGACUACAGGAGGGAAAGUGAGGCAGAGGCCUGUCCGUUCCAUUCCUAGCUUGGCCAGUGGCUAGCGAGCGGAAGGCAAUCUGCUACGCGU